rnacentral:rRNA from 1 species
AUUCCGGUUGAUCCUGCCGGAGGCCAUUGCUAUCGGAGUCCGAUUUAGCCAUGCUAGUUGCACGAGUUUAGACUCGUAGCAUAUAGCUCAGUAACACGUGGCCAAACUACCCUACAGACCGCGAUAACCUCGGGAAACUGAGGCCAAUAGCGGAUAUAACUCUCAGGCUGGAGUGCCGAGAGUUAGAAACGUUCCGGCGCUGUAGGAUGUGGCUGCGGCCGAUUAGGUAGACGGUGGGGUAAC